rnacentral:lncRNA from 1 species
GCCACUCUUCCCAUUAUUCUCCUGGUGGUGCUGGUUGCAGGUGUGUAGAUGAGUUUCACUCCCCUAACACUGAAGGCAGGGUCAUCCAAACGCCCAAGGAACUUGUAAGGGAUUUCUUGCCAUUCAUAAUGGUAGAUCGUAAUUGAUGAUAUUUGUAUUAGUAAGAGAAGAAUCGCAAUGGUAAUCCAUUCCUGGAAACUUUCUGUUUUCU